rnacentral:rRNA from 1 species
UACAGAGGGUGCGAGCGUUAAUCGGAAUUAUUGGGCGUAAAGGGUGCGUAGGUGGUUAGAUAAGUUGGACGUGAAAUCCCCGGGCUUAACCUGGGAACUGCGUUCAAGACUGUUUAGCUAGAGUACGGUAGAGGUAAGUGGAAUUUCCGGUGUAGCGGUGAAAUGCGUAGAUAUCGGAAGGAACACCAGUGGCGAAGGCGGCUUACUGGAUUGAUACUGACACUGAGGCACGAGAGCGUGGGGAGCAAACAGG